rnacentral:rRNA from 1 species
UACGUAGGUGACAAGCGUUGUCCGGAUUUACUGGGCGUAAAGAGCGCGCAGGCGGUCGAUCAAGUCGAGUGUGGAAGCCCCCGGCUCAACUGGGGAGGGUCAUUCGAUACUGAUCGACUCGAAGGCAGGAGAGGGUAGUGGAAUUCCCGGUGUAGUGGUGAAAUGCGUAGAUAUCGGGAGGAACACCAGUGGCGAAGGCGACUACCUGGCCUGUUCUUGACGCUGAGGCGCGAAAGCUAGGGGAGCAAACGGG